AUAUACCUUGCCGGAGGAUCUUGUUAAGAGGCAAAUUCUGAUUUAGUGGGUCUGUGGGUACCAAAGAAUCUGCAUUUCUAACUAGCUCCUGGUGAUGCCAGG
rnacentral:pre_miRNA from 1 species